UUACAUGUAUUGCCAGUGGUUUGAGGCCGUGGGACCAUGUUAAUUCUCUCAGUUUUAAUAUGGAAAUCUCACAAGUACCCGAUUGCAGGUGUAUAAUACGCAUUUCUAACUCCUGUACCACAAAUUAGCUGUAGUAUAGUUUUUUAUACCUUUUUCAUGAUUUCCUUCAGGAACUGUAAUAAGACGCCGUCUGGUUUGCUAAACCCCACCUUUUUUUGCGUCACGGUGAGCAAAGACCCCUGAGAAGCGGUACCAGCCGCCUGGUGGGACGGUCGUGUGUGCCACAGCUGGCUCAGGCUGGUGGGAGCGAGUGCGUUCAGUUCAGUUCAGAGCUGCGCUGCAGCCAGGCGUGAAUUACGGCCCCGUCAGGAACGUGUAAAAGGAAGCAUUUUAUGGCUUCUGUUUGGCAUGUCUGAAUUUCAGGAAUUACUGUUCUUAGGCUUUGGGGCCAUUACAUGAAAUAAAGUUACUUAACACAAGCAGUCAGUGGGAUGCCCCAGGUGCCUGCGAGGUGACUGGCCAGUGAGCUGUGAGUCGUGUGAGUCUGUUAGACAGAGGGAUGGCCCUGGAGAAUGGCACCCAGUUGCCGUGUAUUAGUUGUUUGUUCCUGGGAUUUUCCAUCUAACAUGUUCGGGCCAUGGCUGACCAUGGAUAGCUACAACGCAGAAAAGGGAGCCCCAGAUGGGGAGGUGGCUGGUGUCUAGCACGUAGACUGAGGUGUGGAAUAGCUUACGUGCCGUCCUCAGAGAUGCACACCCUCCAUCUUUGCAACAAGUGGCAAAUCCCUGCAAAAUUUUGAAUACCAUCUUGAUACCUGCGUAUUAAGAGAUACUAAAUCUGUUAUUUCAGUCCUACUUGUUACUAGCACAGAGCCCCGGGAACUCAGAGUUAGUGAGACAAUGUGAACUUUGACCUCAGCAAGAACGAGUCUGAGCCGUGGAGCCCGUGUCCGCCAUGGGUGGGCCCAUGACCGACCAGAUGAGUGUACUCAUUCAUCUCCGGGGAGCUUGCCUUGGGCUGGCGUGAGAAACGUGCAGGGCGUUCCGUCCCUGACUCAGUACGGCAGGAGCCUUUCUACUCAACAUUCCUCAGGGUCCCUGCAGUGUUCCCCAGACUAACUGGCCUAAGUUCUUAGUACACUAAACCAGAGUGUUGAUGAAAUGUUUUAAAUGAUCCAGUUUCUGGUAUUCCUUCUGUUAUUUAGGAGGGGAAUGGUUAACUUGUGCAGGAAAGCCACGUUUACAGAUUCCCAUUUACCCUAGGGUUUGGAGGCGCUCUUUAGGAGGGCAGGAUCCUUGGUUUCAGCAUUCCUGAGUCUUCCGGACUCCAGGGGCCUGCCGGGAUUUCUCCACGAUGGGGGACACGUUGCUCUUUGGUCCUAGCUGCUGCCUGGGUCAGUCAGUCAUCCUAGUAACAGGAGUUAGGUUGUCCCUCAGAUAGGUUUGAUGUAGAAAUCGGUCGGCAUUUAACUUCCCUGGUUGUAUGGCCCACAAGUGCCCACGAGUGUGUACAUCCUAUCUGUCCCUAUUGCCUUCAGGGUGCCCUGAAUGGUUUAUUUGGAUUCUCUCACCUGUCAAUCUUUGAAUUCAGGGCACCUUUGUUAGAGAAACCCAAAUCAGUUUUGUACAGCCUAUCAUGGCUAUUCUGUCUUGUCUAUUUUUAUCUAUUCUCUAGUUUUUGUUUUUGUUUUUGGUACCGGGGAUUGAACUCAGGUCCUUGCGCUUGCAUAGCAGGUGACAAAACCACUGAGCUAAACCCUCAGCCCAAACAAUUCUCUGGGAGAGACAUUGCUCUGGAGUCUUUUUUUUUUUUUUGGUACGGGGAUCUAACUCGGGUCCUUGCACUUGCAGGGCAGGCGGCGGAACCACUGAGCUAAAUCCAUGGGCCUAGUUUUUGUUUUUUGUUUUUUUUUUUUCAGUACUGGGGAUCGAACUCGGGUCCUUGUGCUUGCAAGGCAGGCGGUUAAACCACUGAGCUAAAUCCCCGGCUCCAGUUUUAAUUUUUUUAAAUUUGUGUACAUCCUCAGUUCAGUCACUUAAGUUAAAUCUUACUCUAGUUUCUGCCUUAUACUGGAAGAAAAAAUUGCUGUUCACUGAUAGAAAACAAAAAAGAAAAUUUUCUUAAAUAACAGCCUCAGAAUUUCCUAUCACCAGCUUUAAUUUGUGAGCAUCACUCUUUCAAUGUCUGAUGAGAAUUUACUUUUAGGGUUUAAGCAACACCCUUCUACCCUUCUUACCUGUUUUGGUUUCCUUUGUUUUUAGAGACAGGGUCUGUCUCACUGUAGUUCAGGCUGGCCUUGAAGAACUCACUGUGUAACCCAGGCUGGCCUUGAACGCACAGCGAUCCUCCUGCCUCAGCCUCCUGAAUUCUGGGAUCACAGGCGUGCACUACCACACCUGGUGCUCUUUCUGUUUUGGGAGACCAUCUUCCCCUGAUAUGCUGAAGGCGAAGAGCUUAAAGCACACAAGAGCAUACAUAAUAGGGCUUUCCCAAACAGUUCUCCUGAGAAUUAUUACCGCUGCAAAAUUAUAGGGUUUCCGGGGUUAGUGGGUCAGAACUACAUAGUGUGUGUCCCUCUUGAAGAGCACAGCUCACUAGUAAAGUCUCCCCAGCUUCUUGAAGGCUCAGUCAUGCAGUCCUGUACCCCUGCCACACUCAUUCUUAGAGCUUCCUUUCACCUGGAAAAUAAGUGGCUGGACCAGCUGUUUUCCAGCUCCUCUGUAGCUCUUUGAAGUCUUUGUUGUUUGUUUGUGUUUUGAGACGGGGUCUUGCUUUGUAGCUCAGGCCAGCCUUGAAUUCACUGUGCAGCCAGACUGGCCUGGAACUCGAGAUGAUCCUCCUGCCUCAGCCUCCGGAGUGCUGGGAUUAUAGGUUUACUUUUGGACAUCAAGCCCGUCAUUGCCGGCAAGUGAAGAAGGCUUCCAGCCCAUGCCAUCAAUCACAAUAAGACCUCCAGAUGACCAACAUCUUCCUACUGCAAACACUUGCAUUUCUCGACUUUACGUCCCACUCUAUUCCUCUAAACAGAUUCUCAAACAGAAAUUGCUACUUGCCAUUAAGACCAAGAAUUUUGGUUUUGUGUAGAGUAUAAAGUGUGUAAUGCUGUGUAAUAUUACUAGCUAAUUUUGUAGAUUUUUUUCCCAUUUGUCUAUAAAAAUUUACAGAAGUUAAAUGCUGUCAUACCCCCUGGUGAUACCUUAAAGAGAUUAAAUGCAAACAUUCCUUGCUGAGUUCAUAGCUUACAGGCCUGAGGAGCACUAGCAACAUUUGGUUAAAACUGUUUGCUAGGCACCAACUUCUGGGUCUAACCCCAGCCAAAGAGGACAGCAGAACAACAUGAUUUACACUGUGAUUUAUCUUUUUGCUGAGGGGAAAAAAUGUAAAAUGUUCUGAAAAUUCACUGCUGCCUUUGUGGAAAGUGUUUCAGCAGAGGUUCUUGUAUAGAGGGUUAGGGAAUUUCAAAAUAAAAAAUUACGUAUGUUCUGUGUUUUCAUUUUAACUUCUUUAUGUGUUUAAUUUGUGGUUGGCUGCAGUUGUAUAUCAUGUAUAUGGGACUUGUCAAAAGUUCUUGGCACUCAGAUCUCAGAGCUGAGGUCACUUUUACCUACACAGACCACUUCUGUUGCGUUUAUUUCAGCUGCAUCGAGCUCUAGGAUACUAAGUGAUGUCACCCGUGUUCUGCGUGUAACGUGUUCACUUGGGCGAGGGUGCUCCUUUGUGCAUACGACGGGGCCGGUACAGUGCUUUCCCCACCUCCUCCUCGCUGUGUCCCUGGGUCAGUGCAGUCAGCAGGUGGCUGCCGUUCUCAGCCCCAACAGACAUUUGUACCGAGGGAGCCUUCAGUUAUGUAAACAGCCUGGGCACUUUCUGAUAACUGUAAAAUGUUUUAUAAGAUCAUAAUUAUUGAAAAUACAUUUUGGAAAAAUUUAAAUGUUCAUGAGCAGCUUAACUACUUUUGUAUCUAACCUUUUUUAAGUAUCUUGUUACAUUUACUUUUUUAAAUAAAUUACAGAAGAAAUGUCAAGUAACAUUGAAGAAACAAUAGUUUUUAUUUAUAUAGUACAUUUUUAAACUAAGGGCAAUACACCGACAUGUUACGUGGAUAAAAAUUUUGACGUAAAGAACUGAAAGUUUACAUGCACCUGGACUGUAAGAAACAGAAGAAACUCAGCCCACAUUUUACAGUUAGCAGAGAACCCUAAAUGGCACCUGGCCAGGCCACCUUUUCUUUUAAAAAUGGGGGAAGUGAAGCAUGACCAUUACUUGGCGUGGAAAGUCCAACUUGUAACUAAACUACCAUUACAUAGCCUGCACCCAAUAUCCCUGAACUCUUACGGCUUUCGUAGCUUUGCUCAGUGGCGUAAUAAGGAACACUUUUCUUCACUGAGACUUAAACUAGUCACUUUACAUGUUAAAAACGAAGAGAAAGAUUCUCUAGACUCUCUUGCUUUUUCAGUCCCUAUGUAGGACUUCUGGCCUCGGAAUUGUUCCCAUGUUCAAGGGCACUAUGCUUUUAUUACAUAACUUCCUUUAGGAGACCGAGACCAAUCCACAUGACAUUCUCCGCCCUGUUGACACUAAACAUACUUAAAACAGAAUGAUAGCAGUAAAACUCAUUGUAUUACUUAAAACUUAUACAACAACAUGCUGUAUUAGAUAUGUGUAAAUUAGUCAAAGUGAGACAUUGGUUUUUAUGUCUAAAUGCUAUUUCUGAAUAAAUGAAAUAGUAAUUAGAUUAAGAGCUGAUUAACAUCCAUGUGUUUGAAAGACAAAAUUUAUAUCACCUUAACCUCUGUAUGCACAUGAUGGGAUUGAUAAGUAUUACACGAGAAACAACUGUUUAGGACAUUUGAAACCCUAAUUGUGAAUUUAUUUUUAAUAGUUAUUGAAAGAAUGAAAUAUUUAAUGCAAAUGUCUUAAGUCUUCCUAAAUCAAGAUUUGGGUUAAAAUGCUUUUAGUAAUAUUAAAAGCAGAGUUUUUUUUAAAAGUAAAGCAUAAAACGGUUCUAAAUGUAAAAUAAAGUCAUGUAAAAUAAA
ensembl:lncRNA